rnacentral:rRNA from 1 species
CAGCACCUCAAGUGGUCAGGAUGAUUAUUGGGCCUAAAGCAUCCGUAGCCGGCGCUGUAAGUUUUCGGUUAAAUCUGUACGCUCAACGUACAGGCUGCCGGGAAUACUGCAGCGCUAGGGAGUGGGAGAGGUAGACGGUACUCGGUAGGAAGGGGUAAAAUCCUUUGAUCUAUUGAUGACCACCUGUGGCGUAGGCGGUCUACCAGAACACGUCCGACGGUGAGGGAUGAAAGCUGGGGGAGCAAACCGGAUUAGAUACCCGAGUAGUCC